GUUUCCAGCAAAAUCUUUGAAAUUUGGUAUAAAUUCAGUUGAUUCCGAUGGAGAUUGUUAUUCAUUGUUAAAUUGUUGUUUCCACUUGAAGUACUAAUAUUCUUUGUGAUUAGUUGUUAAUUAACUUGUGAUCUAAUCAUCAUGGUUGAUGAAAAUGAUUGUUCAGUCUCUUUGGACGUCUCAUGAGUUACCAUGUGCUCGCCUAUAAGGCCAUGGGAUUACUCGUUCUUUUAGAGAGAGUAGAGAGAAAGAGACUCAAACAUUACAACUUUUUUGGAACUUUUUUCUUCUUCCUCUUGUGGUGAGAUUAUUUCGGUUAUUAUUGGUGGUAAUUACGUCUAAUAAAACUGAAUUUAUGGAUAUUCAACAACAAUACAGUUUAAUUCACCAGCAUCAAAAUGCUUCAGCAUUUGUCCUAAUACAUGGGCUGGAACUCAAUUGGCUCAUAUAGCUUUCUCCUAGGCUCAAGCAUCUUCCAUGUCAAUGAGUGAUUAUCCCUUCUCAUCAACUAGUAAUUCAUCUUUACAUAUUUUGUAUUCUCAUUAUUCUGGACAUGAUUAUAUGAGCCCAUAUCCACUCAAUAUAUCAUGUCAACCCUAUCCUGCUCCACCAAGAGACGUCCAAAGUCAAGGUCCAUCUUCAUAUGUGUCUCACCUAAACGAAGGACUUGAAUGCGUUAACUGUGGCGCUAUUUCAACCCCCUUAUGGCGUCGAGAUGAUUGUUCAGUCUCUUUGGAUGUCUCAUGAGUUACGCUGUGAUCAUGGGAUUACUCGUUCUUUUACCAGUGAAUCUUUUUCGGCUCAAUGGUGGUUAGCAUCUCAUUUCCGAUUUCCGGUCUUGAAAUCAUCAUGUCUUCACAUGAUGAACUUAAAUUCUAGUGUGAGUGAAUACCUGAUGUUUCCUGUUUCCUGUUUCCUGAUUCCUGAUAACAUGAAAUUGCAAUGAUGACUUGAAUACCUGAAGAUUCUGAUUCACCAUGACGCGAAUAUGCAAUACAUUUCUGAGCAAUAGAUCCUGAUAUAAAACCUUUUUGUCCUUCAUUUUUCUUUAAUUAUUAAUCAAUAAAAUUUCAUUAAAAUACAUUUAGAUCAAAGACCCAAAGAAAACGACCAACGAAACUACAAUAUCAACAAUUAACAAGGACAAAUGGAUAUCAAAGGAAAUGCCCAGUCAACCGAUCAAAAUGUAUAAUAUUCAUUCAAAUGUUGAAAUUUAACAAUCAAAAUAAUUAAAUGGAAAAUAUUUUAUUGAAUAA